GGAGCCAGGCUGCCCGGUUUGUAGCCCUGCUUGACCUGUGUGAUCUGAGAAUAAUCUUGUUUAAUCUCCACAAGUUUGAGGACUAAACUGGGUGCCAGAGAGAAUUAAGUAACUUGUCAAGGUUGCAUCAGUAACAGGGGAGCAGGGAAGAGAUUCAAGCUCAGAUGGAGUCUCACACUGUCACCCGGGCUGGAGUGCAGUGGCGUGAUCUUGGCUCACCUCCCAGGUUCAAGCGAUUCUCUUGCCUCAGCCUCCUGAGUAGCUGGGAUUCCAGGGAGCCUGGUUGGACUUCAGGCCCCUGUGAGGCUGACUCUGUAGUCCUGGAGAAACUCAACAGCCAGGAACUUAGGACCAUUUGUGUGUGGCAACCAUUUGUGUGGGCUAACCAGAUUGGUGGCUUCUAAAGAAGAUGGAAAGCAUCACGUUUCCUGUAUUUAAAUUAUUUGGCGAUCUCAAUACUGGUUGUUAGCCAAAGUACACAAUGGAGACAGCCUAUUUGCUCUACUACUUUUGAUGUAGAAAUAUUACUAAACUUGAGCUGAUUAAUAGAACUGUUACACAUUUCUGUGCUCCCCUUACCGGUGGCAUGAAACAAUUCUUUUAAAACCUGCCAUGUGUUCACAUUUAAAACUAAAAGUAAUUUAGAUUACAUGGAUUUGAGAAGCCCAUGUUGACAUGUAAUUGCCAACAGAUGGGCUUUCAAAUGUAAUGAAGUGAAAAUGGUCAGUACCCCAUGUGUUGGAUUUUGCAAUUUUCCAAAGUAAGCCCUCAUUUUUGGCAUGUCAUGCUAGUUAAGAACACAAUGUAUUUAUAGCUCAAUUAUACAUUUUCUGAUGAAUUUGGCAUGGCAUUUUGUUUUUCCAUCAGUCACUUAAGACAGGACAUUUGCCAUUCCAAGAAUGAAUUAGCACUCUUCUAAGUGAUCUAUAAACUGAGAUGUAAAAUAAAUUACAAAUUGGGACUGUUUUAGUUUUUCAAGCAAAGGGUAUUUAAAUAAAGCUUGAAAUCAUAAACCUUAUUUCCUGUUUGAGAAGAUGGUGUAUUCAUUACAGAGUGAAAUAAAGGAUUUUAAUGUUUUUUUUUUUUUCCGGCAA
rnacentral:antisense_RNA from 1 species